CCCGGCAGUGUCUCAGAGGCCUGCAGGUGGGGGAAGCCCUGUUCUUGGCACACAUCCCAUAAAGGUUACCAAGCAAUCUUGUGACUUCCCUGCCACUUACUGUCAUGGAAUUCCUGAGGUGAUUUUUUUUCCUUUCCCUUCAGUUUGGAAGGGCUCAGCCCAAGCUGUGGCAGACUAACCACCGAGGGCCUCUAAAAGGGACAGUAAGAUCAACUCCCAGUUUGGAAGCAAGACAGAAGAUUCCCCAAGAACCAGAAAGCCAGCAGGGCUGGGAAUGAAAGCCAUGGCCUUGUAUCACAUGUUAGGCAGUGUUUCUUAUCUGAGUUCUUCCUGAAGGAUUCCAGAGUCUUUGCAAAACUUACUGAGGAGACAACCUGGCAAACCCGGAGAUCUCCAGCUGAGGAUUGCUUAGGCAAAUGGCUCCUUCAACCAGCUCCAGAAGAGAGGCUAUGGUAUGCAGAAAUUGCUUGUUAGGUUUAAGUUGUGUAACCAUCACCACCACCACCAUAACAAAAUGACUUUUGGGGAAGCAAGGGGAAUUGAGUCCCUCAGAGACUGGACUUCCCUGCUGCAGAAAACUAAAAUUCAUCUCGGAGUGACCCUUGAACCCGCACAGAACAGAACAACUGCACUCGGUGUCCAGUGUGGUGGUGCUUGGAGAAAGGAGGGAUCCAACACUCCAGAACUGUAGGACACAGAUUUGUGGAUACCAUCAGAACUGAUAAAAAUCUGACAUGAGCAAGAGAAGUCCCUUGGAUGCUUUGGCUGCUGACAUGGGUGACUUGACUUGGGGAAAGAAGAGAUACAGAAAGCCUUCGAAGUAAACAGUUGAUCCUUUCACCUUGGGGACAGCUUAAGAAUUUGUGUGGCAAAGGGGGAGCAUUAGUCUGACUGACCAGAAAAACCUCUGGAUGCUACAGCUUUGUCCUUUGUUAUGCUAUUUGAGGUAACUGUAAAGGUAACAGGGACCAUCUUGGGCCCAUGUCCCUAAUCCUCCAAUUAACAGGAGUAAGCUGGGGAGAUAUGGAUAAUUCUUGUGGUGGUUAAUAGAUAUUCUCGGCUACUUAUAACAACUGAGGUGCUCAGCCUAUGAAGGAGGGUAAGGAAAUCAUAAACUAUAGGUGGCAGUGCAAGGAAUUGCCGUUUGUAUGGGUAAUGGAAUUCAAUGUCUGAAUAUAACCUUUCAAGUGUGGUUAUCUGUAGUUAAUACUAGCUAGGAUCAUCAUAAAUUUUAUAUGCUUCAUGCAUGUGGUUUUAGAGGACAGGAGAUUAAUACUACUAGUUCCAUAAAUCUACUGCCUGUGAGAUUUGAGUCACCAACAAGAGGUCUGACUGGGUACACUGGCAACAAUGUAAGAAUGAGAACCUGGUGUGGGAAGUCCUUCUGUGUGUGUUGGUUGUAUUGGUUAAUGAAUAAAGAAGCUGCCUUUGGCCAAUGGCUUAACAGAGGCCGGAAA